GAGGAGGAGGAGGAGGAGGAGGAGGAGGAGGAGGUAGCAGUGAGAGUCGUAGAAUCGUGUUGUUCCCAGACACCUUCCCCACGCACUUGUACCCCUGUUUGUAAACUCUUGAGAAGACUACUGCCACCCUCUUGUUUUCCUUCCUCCUUCUUCUCCUGUUACACUGUCUCCUAUUUCCUUUUAUCAACUUGCAUAUUCCCAGUAGAGUAUCAGGGCACUUGAAAAUUUUACUGUCUUAGCAUUUUUCAUGGUUCUUCUUCAACUAUGUGCCACUAUGUUGGGUCUCUUCCUCCUCCUUCUCUUUCUCCUGUCAUGGCAUUCAAAAACUUCAGUCCUCGUAGCAUCUUUCCUGGUUCUUCUUCGGCUAGGUGACUUAAUGAGUGGUACGUAGUCAUGGUCAGUGGUCAGUAACAUGGAUCACUCACUCACUUAUACUGUUUGGUAUUUUUACCUUAUUAGUAUGUCCUCUGAUCUGCUGGGAACUAAUUGCUGUCUUUUAUAAGGUGACUGUCAGCAGAUCAGGGACUUAAAUUUGAGGGAAAAAACACAAAACACAAGGGAAGUUAGUGUAGGUUACUCGACUUUUGAUCACCAUUGUAUCCUUAAGAUAUUUAUCCUCGUAUACUUUUUUUUUGCAAUCCUAUCCCAGCCUUGUGAGAAUGAGAGAUGAAACACAACACAUUAAAUAAUCCAAGCGAGUUGCGGUUCCUGAGUAUCAUAAUGAAACUCAGGCUUUGUGAAGUAACUCAGUCUAUCUUGUCCCUUUUUCCCGUGUAGUUUUAAAAGUCUCACCUUGCGCUAAUGAAUAAAAAAAGAGAAAUUACAAAGUGAGCUAAGGUUGAAAUGAGGUGGCAGCGCCCGAGGACCGUAAUGAAACUCGGGCUGUGUAAUAUAACUAGGAGUCCACGCUGCAGAGAAACAUAUGAAUAAUUUUUGCUGCAGCAACGAGCUAAUGCACAGGACGUGAGCGUGAUGGAAGAAUAACACAGGUCAGAGAGAAAUUCUUAUUCGCUAGUGACGGGAGAAAAUAUGAAUGUGGCGCGUGUAUAACCAAAAAGUAAAAUUAAAUAUGUACUGGGAGGAAAAGGAGGUAGGAUACGCCAUAUCCAUUUAAGAGAGAACACGACAGGCAGUGUGAGGAUGAAGUCCAGGGCUCACUGUAUAGUUAAUUCAUCGCUAUGGGACGAAAAAAAAAGGCAGAAGUGGAAGGUAACGGAAUAUGUAUAUGAAGCCAUUUUACUGUCUUGAUUUGUUGAGGCGUGGAGCGAGAGGCGAGAAGGGGCGGGAAGGGGGUGAUAAGAGGGCAUGAAGAAGACGAGAAAGGAGACGAGAGAGGUGAUAAAAUAACGAAAAGGAGACGAGAGGAUGGAGAAAGGGGAAAACGAAGAGACGAGGAUAAAGAGAUAAGGAUAAGGAUGGAGAAAGAGGGAAGAAGAAGAGAUGAGAAUAAGAGAGGAGAAGAGAGGAUGACUAGAAAGAGGGAAGAGGGAGAGGUGAGAAUAGAGCGAGAAGGAAACGAGAGGAUGAAAAAAGGGGAAGAGGAAGAGACGAGAAUAGAGCGAGGAGACGAGGGGAAGGCGGCAAUGGAGUGAGCAGAAAAAGCUGCUGUUUUAAUCAUCGACGAAUGAGAGAUCGUGAGCCGCGGAUAGGUAGAUGGGAAUGAGAGAAAGUCAGCGGGAGGCGUGAGGCACGACUCUCGGCGGGGCGGAGAGGGGAAGGCUGCCUCACUCCCUCACUCCCUGCCAAUACGCUGAGGCCAACUGGUAACCUUUGCGUCAGCCUCCUCGUCUCCUUAGCUUGGCUUCUUUCACUUCCACUCCAGAAAUGAAGAACACAGAUUUUGGGCAGGUGAAACGCAAGUGUGGUACGUGAGGUCUUAUUUCUUAACCCGUCGUCUCCGUGGUGCUUGUAGUGGUGGUGGUGGUGGUGGUGGGAGUGCCUGGACUAUAUUAUGCAGGGUCUCUCGGCCUUGCGUUAGGUCCACCUUCUUACCGCAGCGCCGGCAAGGCCAUCUAGCGGGGCGCGAGAAAAGGUCAGAGGACACUUUUGUAUUCUUUACGGCAGCAACACUGGACGUAAUCUGUAAAUAAAAUGACGUUAUUUCAUCAGAUGUUUACAAUCGCCAGGCACAUCUCAGAAGUUAAUGUUGAUUCUUUUGCUUUUACGUUCCUGUUACUUAUUUUAUUUUACUUUAAUUUUAUUUAUUUAUUUUUUUUUUUGAUGGCGGAAAACUUGUAGCUUUCCGUAAGAAGGUCGUAGCUAUUGUAACUUGCAGAAGGAAGAUGUUUUCCGUAACUUUACGACUUGCGUGAGUUGUGUCGCCGUCCACUGGGAGCUUCGGGGACUGUGUGUGUGUGUAUGUGUGUGUGUGUGUGUGUGUGUGUGUGUGUGUGUGUGUGUGUGUGUGUGUGUGUGUGUGUGUGUGUGUGUGUGUGUGUGUGAUGGAAGUGGAAGACGAGGACAAGAGUUCGUCAAAGUUUGAGUCGAAAGGACUGACUGCUGGAGGAGAGAGAGUGUAAGAGUGAAUGGUUGAGGAGAGAAGGAGGGAGAGGGCUGAAGAAAGUAGGAGGAGGAGGAGGAGGAAGAGGAGAAGGAGGAGGAGAAGGAGGAGGAGGAAGAGGAGGAAGAAGAAGAAGAAGAAGAAGAAGAAGAAGAAGAAGAAGAAGAAGAAGAAGAAGAAGAAGAAGAAGAAGAAGAAGGACAGCAGCAACAACAACAACAACAACAACAACAACAACAACAACAACAACAACAACAACAACAACUACUACUACUACUACUACUACUACUACUACUACUACUACUACCACUACUACUACUACUACUACUACUACUACUGCUACUACUACUGCUACUACUACUACUACUACUACUACUACUACUACUACUGCUGCUGCUGCUAUAACAAUAACAAAAAAAUUAAUAAUUUAUAGAUCCAGGUCCAAAAAUUUCUGACAAAAUAGGAAAGUACCAGAAGAAAAAUAAUUAUGAACGAGAUAAAAAAAUAAUAAAAAAAGUAACUUCAAUCCUUUGUGGCGCUUUUUCUUUUCAAAUUUUAGUUUUUGGAUUAGUUUCGAAGAAAGAAAAAAGAAAAAAAAAGAUAGGAAGGUUGUAAUUAAUUAGUACUUUGUUGGAGGGGAAAGUGAUCGAUGAAAGUGACACACGGGAGAGAAGUUACGGACGAGGCAAUGAAGAUGUAGCGUGUGAAGGUGCUGUGGUGGAAGACUGCUUAAAACAUGACAAGAUGAAACUUAAUCUUGUGACAUGACAAGUUCAAGUUUCUUCUUAUCCAUGACAGGUCCAGAUUGUUUCCUAUAACAUGAGAGGCUCAGAGGUUCAGGUUUUGCAUACUGUUAGAAGUUCAGAUAUAUUUCCAAAUGACCGGUUCAAAUUCACUUCUAUAAUGUGGCUGAAACUGUAUUGAUCUUUCGAAUCUUUACUCUAUUUUCUUUUUCUUUAAAUAUUAUGAGCUGUAUUUUUCCUUUUUCUCAUCUUUCAUUCUAUUUUCUUCCCUUUCCUUCCAUUUCAUUCUUUGCAAAUUCCUGUUUUCUCUGAUUUUCAUUGUCUCUCUCUCUCUCUUUUUAUUCCUUCCUUUACGUGUUCUUUACUCUUCUGUCAGUAUUAUUAAAGAGAAUCCUAAGUUUCCCUUCGUCUCUUCUUCGUCUCCUUCUUUCGCUUCACCUUGCGUUCGGAUAUUCACUUUUUUUCUCCAGGAUCAUUAAAGCGAUAAUUCAUCUGUGAAAUAUAAUUGGAUAUUUUAUAAACGCGCCGCAUGCUUGUUAACCGACUAAUUGCUGGCAAGGACUUAACGUGGAAAGCACACUUCGAUGAACAUUACUAUAACAAAGGAAGCAUUAUUAAUUAUUUCACGUUAAGAGCCUUUAGCCUUUCUCUUUAAACGUGCUCUAUUGUUCAUGCUUUGAACUCAUCGCUCCAUUGAUUCCUGCGGCAAAUAUAUUCUUUUUCCCCCGGUUACUGAUUGUAAGGCAGCGGACGCUCACUCAUUGGCCAGCACUCUCAAACGCUUUGUUCCCUCAUCAGGACUCUUCUGAUGCCUUGUUGAUAAUUAAUCGAGUUUUUUUUUUCAUUUUUUAAAAUUUCCUUUUGUCUAUUGAUGAUGGAGAAUCCUUGUCAAAACUUGAUCACUAGAAUUAUGUAAACACCAAUAAAGCUUGUAAGAGGUUAGAUAGGAGGAUAACAUGUUUGGCAACCAUGAAAGCAUCACUGGAAGGGUCGAUAACUUCCAUUGAAUCGUGUUAGGGCUAGGAGAGGAUGAUGAAAUGUCUGAAAUACGGUCUGUUGUCACGUGUAUAAGUGAACGUGAGGCGUACUGUUGUUAGUUAACACGGUAUUUGAUGUUCAGUAGAGGCGUGUGAUUGUGUCUCUCUGUCUCUGUGCGUUGGUGAGUGUGUUGAUUGGAAUGAUAAUGAUGAGGAAAGGGAACAGGAUGAGGAGGAGGGGUAGGAGGAGGAGGAAGAGGGAGAGGAGCAGGAGGAGGAGAAGAGGAGGAACACUAGCAGGUAGGACGUGGGAACCUCAGCUUAACCUGCUCUCUCUCUCUCUCUCUCUCUCUCUCUCUCUCUCUCUCUCUCUCUCUCUCUCUCUCUCUCUCUCUCUCUCUCUCUCUCAGCACGUCUAGUCAGCUGUAAUUCUUUUCCAUCGCAUAUUUACGACUCAUUUCGACACACGCUGCUGGAGGAAGUGGAAAAAUAAUGCUGCGGAGGCUUUUGGCAAACAACUUCUAUCCAAGACUCCUUCUUUUUGUUUUUA